UAUUCAAUAUGUUCUCCUGUAUCAUAGAUGUCGCCGGUGACGAUCGAUAUUGACGUCCGUUUUGCUGUGUCUCGUCGAUCAAGUUCCACCCCGAGCACCACCGGCGACUACGACAAGCACAUCCGUCUUGCAAUUGGCGCCAUCGUCGGAAAGGUCGAUAAAACGACGACUUCCAUUGCAGGUUGCAGGAGGAUGACCGAUCAGAUUAUACCACUAGGCAUUAAUCGGUGAGGUCAAUCAGGUCAAGGGUGUAUGUCUUCGGAUGCAUUACGCCGCCACCGCCGACGGCCACGUGCCGUGGAGCAGCCAUGGUUAAGUUUCAUGCAUGCGCGACGAGUCAUGCGACUCGCCCGAUCUCAUCAGCAGUGUCGCAGCCCUCCCCGGGUCUGCUGUCUCCAAAUCUGGCACACACUAUGGAAAUAUGACGUCAGAAUGAAGAAUACAUGAAUCACCAUGGAUGUCCUAGCUACCGAUGGUGCCUGAUUGAUCCAUGCCCUAUGAUAUACUGUGUGCAUGACAAUAAUUUGCUAGUACGUACACACUAGAAACAGUUGGCAGCUUCCUUUCCACCUAUAAUCGAGUCAUGUUUCUUAUUGAUGAUGA